rnacentral:rRNA from 1 species
GACGAACGCUGGCGGCGUGCCUAAUACAUGCAAGUCGAACGAGAGCGACCGGUGCUUGCACUGGUCAAUCUAGUGGCGAACGGGUGAGUAACACGUGGGUAACCUGCCCAUCAGAGGGGGAUAACAUCCGGAAACGGAUGCUAAAACCGCAUAGGUCUUCGAACCGCAUGGUUUGAAGAGGAAAAGAGGCGCAAGCUUCUGCUGAUGGAUGGACCCGCGGUGCAUUAGCUAGUUGGUGAGGUAACGGCUCACCAAGGCCGUGAUGCAUAGCCGACCUGAGAGGGUGAUCGGCCACAUUGGGACUGAGACACGGCCCAAACUCCUACGGGAGGCAGCAGUAGGGAAUCUUCCGCAAUGGACGCAAGUCUGACGGAGCAACGCCGCGUGAGUGAAGAAGGUUUUCGGAUCGUAAAACUCUGUUGUUAGAGAAGAACAAGUGCUAGAGUAACUGUUAGCGCCUUGACGGUAUCUGACCAGAAAGCCACGGCUAACUACGUG